rnacentral:lncRNA from 1 species
CUCUUAUCACAAUGCCUUGCCAGAACAUGACACAGAAUCUGUCAAAUUUCAUUUCUUAGUACCUCAAAUCCCUAUAGAUACUUUGGAGGCUCUGAGCUCUUGUUACUCCAUUAUGUGUGGCUCAAUUGGGAAAGUCAUUUCACAGCCUUGGGACUCAACAAAAGUGGUUUUGGCAGACUGAAAGGAGGUGACUGGCUGAGCUUUCUUGAUAACUUCUGGCACAGCUGUCUGGCAGAGAGAGCUUGGGUUAGUGAACAAGCCAUCCGUGCCUCCUUUCCCAUCCUUGAUGUGCCAAAGAAUUGGAUACAGCUCCAGCUGAAGCUUUAGUCGUGGUUUAAUGUGCACUUCCAACUGGAGUAUUCAUGUUUUGCCAUCCAGAUCAGGAUAGAGGGACCAGGUAAUGGAGGACAAGGUGUAGGGAACCUCCCUGGAGGGGAUUGUAGCACUGCAAACAAUGUUGUGCACCUUCCUCUCCCCUGCAUGGGCCUUGCUGGGGAGAGUUGCUCACCAGAGAAGAAAAUUAUGCCUGGGACAGGAAGUUUGUUGAGAGACAUUCAUGUCUCCUUCCCACAAUUUUCUGAGUGGAUUCUGCCUUAUGUGCCUUGGUGCAGAGCCCCAGAUGUCCUUGUUGUGAGCCCGAGCAUCUCCUCCUCCUCACGGCCCUGCUACCUUCACGUGCAACACUUCUGCUGCUCUAAAGAUACCAAAAGGUUUUAAUUACGAUUAAGCCAAGUCAUUUCUACACUUUCGAGCUG